AGAGUUUGAUCCUGGCUCAGAUUGAACGCUGGCGGCAGGCCUAACACAUGCAAGUCGAGCGAAUGAGGGUAGCUUGCUACCUGAUUUAGCGGCGGACGGGUGAGUAAUGUAUAGGGAGCUGCCCGAUAGAGGGGGAUACCAGUUGGAAACGACUGUUAAUACCGCAUAAUGUYUACGGACCAAAGUGUGGGACCUUCGGGCCACAUGCUAUCGGAUGCACCUAUAUGGGAUUAGCUAGUUGGUGGGGUAACGGCUCACCAAGGCGACGAUCCCUAGCUGGUUUGAGAGGAUGAUCAGCCACACUGGAACUGAGACACGGUCCAGACUCCUACGGGAGGCAGCAGUGGGGAAUAUUGGACAAUGGGCGCAAGCCUGAUCCAGCCAUGCCGCGUGUGUGAAGAAGGCCUUCGGGUUGUAAAGCACUUUCAGCGAGGAGGAAGGGGUGUGUGUUAAUAGCACGCAUUCUGACGUACUCGCAGAGA
rnacentral:rRNA from 1 species